rnacentral:rRNA from 1 species
CAUGCAAGUCGAACGAUGAAGCCUAGCUUGCUAGGUGGAUUAGUGGCGAACGGGUGAGUAAUACGUGAGUAACCUACCUUUAACUCUGGGAUAAGCCUGGGAAACUGGGUCUAAUACCGGAUACGACCAAUCUCCGCAUGGGGUGUUGGUGGAAAGCGUUAUGUAGUGGUUAUAGAUGGGCUCACGGCCUAUCAGCUUGUUGGUGAGGUAACGGCUCACCAAGGCGACGACGGGUAGCCGGCCUGAGAGGGUGACCGGCCACACUGGGACUGAGACACGGCCCAGACUCCUACGGGAGGCAGCAGUGGGGAAUAUUGCACAAUGGGCGCAAGCCUGAUGCAGCGACGCCGCGUGAGGGAUGACGGCCUUCGGGUUGUAAACCUCUGUUAGCAGGGAAGAAGAGAGAUUGACGGUACCUGCAGAGAAAGCGCCGGCUAACUACGUGCCAGCAGCCGCGGUAAUACGUAGGGCGCGAGCGUUGUCCGGAAUUAUUGGGCGUAAAGAGCUUGUAGGCGGUUUGUCGCGUCUGCUGUGAAAGGCCGGAGCUUAACUCCGUGUAUUGCAGUGGGUACGGGCAGACUAGAGUGCAGUAGGGGAGACUGGAAUUCCUGGUGUAGCGGUGGAAUGCGCAGAUAUCAGGAGGAACACCGAUGGCGAAGGCAGGUCUCUGGGCUGUAACUGACGCUGAGAAGCGAAAGCAUGGGGAGCGAACAGGAUUAGAUACCCUGGUAGUCCAUGCCGUAAACGUUGGGCACUAGGUGUGGGG